GAUCAUGGCUCAGGAUGAACGCUAGCUACAGGCUUAACACAUGCAAGUCGAGGGGCAGCAUGGUCUUAGCUUGCUAAGGCUGAUGGCGACCGGCGCACGGGUGAGUAACACGUAUCCAACCUGCCGUCUACUCUUGGCCAGCCUUCUGAAAGGAAGAUUAAUCCAGGAUGGGAUCAUGAGUUCACAUGUCCGCAUGAUAAGUAUUUCGUCGACG
rnacentral:rRNA from 1 species